AUGAACAUUGCUCUCCUGACCCGCUGGCUUUGGUGUAUCACCAAUGGGGAGGGAGGACUCGAGGAUGCCCCGGAUUCCCUCUCCUGGCGCCUUGAGCUGUCUGGCCGCUUCUCCACGAAGUCCCUGUACGCCGCCAAUGCUCCCUCGGCAGCCUCAAUGCCUUUUAGCCUGAUCUGGGACAUCCGCCUACCUCUGAAGAUCAGGAUUUUCCUGUGGCAAUGGAUCCGUGGACGCCUCCCCUCUGGGGUUGAAGUCCUCAAGUGUAACGGUCUGGGUGAUGGGUUGUGCCCCAUUUGUGGCAGGAUAGAAGAUGCUAACCACAUCUUCUUCUCCUGCUCCACUGCCUAG
rnacentral:rRNA from 1 species